UACGUAGGGUCCGAGCGUUGUCCGGAAUUAUUGGGCGUAAAGGGCUCGUAGGCGGUUUGUCACGUCGGGAGUGAAAACUCAGGGCUCAACCCUGAGCGUGCUUCCGAUACGGGCAGACUAGAGGUAUGCAGGGGAGAACGGAAUUCCUGGUGUAGCGGUGGAAUGCGCAGAUAUCAGGAGGAACACCGGUGGCGAAGGCGGUUCUCUGGGCCGAUAUUGACGCUGAGGAGCGAAAGCGUGGGGAGCAAACAGG
rnacentral:rRNA from 1 species